GACGUAGGGAGCGAGCGUUGUCCGGAUUCAUUGGGCGUAAAGAGCGCGCAGGCGGUUUGGUAAGUCGGAUGUGAAAACCCGGGGCUCAACCCCGGGCGUGCAUCUCGAUACUGCCCGACUAGAGGUAGGUAGGGGAGAUCGGAAUUCCUGGUGUAGCGGUGAAAUGCGCAGAUAUCAGGAGGAACACCGGUGGCGAAGGCGGAUCUCUGGGCCUUACCUGACGCUCAGGCGCGAAAGCUAGGGAAGCGAACAGG
rnacentral:rRNA from 1 species